rnacentral:rRNA from 1 species
GGUCAAGUUACUAAGGGUGUAUGGGGGAUGUCUAGGCGUCGUGAGGCGAUGAAGGACGUGGCAGGCUGCGAUAAGCCCGGGGCAGGAGCCGAGCAUCCGUUAAUCCCGGGAUGUCCGAAUGGGGAAACCCGGCAGGACUGGGCAACCAGAUCCUGUCAUCUCUGGCUGAAUGCAUAGGCCAGGCGAAGCGAACGCAGGGAACUGAAACAUCUCAGUACCUGCAGGAAAGGAAAUCAACCGAGACUCCGUAAGUAGCGGCGAGCGAAAGCGGACAAGCCCAAACCAGGGAGCUUGCUCUUUGGUGUUGCGGGCGCCGGUAAGCAGUUACAAAGGCAUCGCAAGCGGAACGGUCUGGAAAGUCCGACCAUAGAAGGUGAUAGUCCUGUAUGCAAAAGCGAGAGCCCUGCAUUACUGCCGGCGUACCAGAGUAGCACGGAGCUCGUGGAACUCUGUGUGAAACCGGGGGGUCCCCCCUCCAAGGCUAAGUACUCCUCGACGACCGAUAGUGAAAAGUAAGGCGACUGAACGAUGAAAAGCACCCCUAUUAGGGGAGUUAAAAGUACCUGAAUCCAUACACCUACAAGCUGUGGAAGGGCUAUGACGCGUUCUUCGGAACGGGUAAUGCCUGACCGCGUGCCUUUUGCAUAAUGAGCCGGCGAGUUACCGUCUGCGGCAAGGUUAAGCCCUUCAGGGGUGUAGCCGUAGCGAAAGCGAGUCUUAAUAGGGCGUCUUAGUCGCAGGUGGUAGACGCGAAACCAGGUGAUCUACCCAUGGCCAGGUUGAAAGGGAUGUAAAAAUCCCUGGAGGACCGAACUCACUAACGUUGAAAAGUUAGGGGAUGAGCUGUGGGGAGGAGUGAAAGUCUAAUCAAACCUGGAGAUAUCUCGUUCUCUUCGAAAUAGCUUUUGGGCUAGCCUUGAGCUACUACUUUACGGGGGUAGAGCUACUGAAUGGGGAUGGGGGACCACCAGUCUACUCACCCCAACCAAACUCCGAAUACCGUAAAGACUAUCUCAGGAGUCAGACUGCGGGGGAUAACCUCCAUGGUCAAGAGGGAAACAACCCAGAUCGCCAGCUAAGGUCCCGAAGUCUUGCUAAGUUCUUAAGGAAGUUGAAUUGCCGUGACAGCCAGGAUGUUGGCUUAGAAGCAGCCACCAUUUAAAAAGUGCGUAAUAGCUUACUGGUCGAGCAGUUUGGCGCCGAUAAUGACCGGGAAUAAGCAAGACACCGAAGCUGCGGAUGGAUUACUUUUUUGCAAAAGAAAGUAAUUCGUGGUAGGAGAGCGUUGCUGACAGCGCCGAAGCCGUACGGUAACGAGCGGUGGAGCGUCAGCAAGUGAUUAUGCCGGCAUGAGUAACGAUAAAACAGGUGAGAAUCCUGUUCGCCGAAAGCCUAAGGUUUCCUGGGGAAGGUACAUCCGCCCAGGGUUAGUCGGUCCCUUAGUCGAGGCCGAAAGGCGUAGACGAUGGACAGCAGGUUAAUAUUCCUGCACUAUGUAUCGAAGGUUUGAACUGUGGGGGUAACGCAGUUUCAGAGGCUGGAAGCUGAUUAGUCGUGGCUAUCCUGCCUGCGGUCCCGUUGGUAGGCAAAUCCGCCAGCAUAAAGGGUCCAAAGGACGGCGAGGGCCGAUUUAAGAUGCCUGAGCAGCCCGAGAGACUGCCAAGAAAAACCUCAAACAGGACGACGUUGCAUAACCGUACUAAAACUGACACAGGUAGGCGAGGAGAAUAUCCUCAGGCGCUCGAGAAAACCGUCCUUAAGGAACUCGGCAAAUUGACCCCGUAAGCUUGCGAUAAGGGGUCCCUCCAGAUAUGCCCGGUAAUUCAUUAUUGAGCAUAUGCUGAGGGCGCAGUGAAGUGGCUCUGGCGACUGUUUACCAAAAACACAGCUCUCUGCUAACACUUACAGUGGAUGUAUAGAGAGUGACGCCUGCUCGGUGCCGGAAGGUUAAGUGGAAGGGUCAACUCCUUCGGGGGUGAAGCUCCUAAAUGAAGCCCCGGUAAACGGCGGCCGUAACUAUGACGGUCCUAAGGUAGCGAAAUUCCUUGUCGGGUAAGUUCCGACGUGCAUGAAUGGCGUAACGACUGGAGCACUGUCUCGAGGACGGACUCGGUGAAAUUGUAAUUGUGGUGAAGAUACCACAUACCCGCGGCAAGACGGAAAGACCCCGUGAACCUUUACUAUAUCCUGGUAUUGAUGCCUGGCAUAUCUUGCGUAGGAUAGGUGGGAGGCUAUGAGGCCCCGAUUUCGGUCGGGGCGGAGCCAACCUUGAAAUACCACCCUUGCUAUGUUAGUCACCUAACUUUGACCCGUGAAACCGGGCAAUGGACAGUGCUAGGUGGGUAGUUUGACUGGGGCGGUCUCCUCCCAAAGAGUAACGGAGGAGCUCAAAGGUACACUCAGCGUGGUUGGCAACCACGUAUAGAGCCUAAAGGUAUAAGUGUGCUUGACUGCGAGACUUAUCAGUCGAGCAGGUGCGAAAGCAGGACUUAGUGAUCCGGUGGUCCCGUGUGGAAGGGCCAUCGCUCAACAGAUAAAAGGUACUCCGGGGAUAACAGGCUUAUGACUCCCGAGCGUUCAUAGCGGCGGAGUCGUUUGGCACCUCGAUGUCGGCUCAUCACAUCCUGGGGCUGAAGGCGGUCCCAAGGGUUCGGCUGUUCGCCGAUUAAAGUGGUACGCGAGCUGGGUUCAGACCGGCGCGAGCCAGGUCGGUCCCUAUCUGCCGUGGGCGCAGGAAUCUUGAGGAGAUGUUUCUCUAGUACGAGAGGAUUGGGAAGCACUGACCUCUGGUGUACCGGUUGUGGCGCUAGCUGCAUUGCCGGGUAGCUAAGUCGGGAAAGGAUAACCGCUGAAAGCAUCUAAGCGGGAAGCCCCCUCCAAGAUGAGGAUUCCAUUCGGCCUUCGGGCCGAUGAAGAGCCCUGAAAGACUAUCAGGUUGAUAGGCCGGGUGUGUAAGCGCAGAAAUGCGUUCAGCUAACCGGUACUAACGCUCGAUUACUUGACCAU